UACGGAGGGUGCAAGCGUUAUCCGGAUUUACUGGGUUUAAAGGGUGCGUAGGCGGGUAGGUAAGUCAGUGGUGAAAUCUCCGGGCUUAACCCGGAAACUGCCAUUGAUACUAUUAGUCUUGAAUAUCCUGGAGGUGAGCGGAAUAUGUCAUGUAGCGGUGAAAUGCUUAGAUAUGACAUAGAACACCAAUUGCGAAGGCAGCUCACUACGGGAUUAUUGACACUGAGGCACGAAAGCGUGGGGAUCAAACAGG
rnacentral:rRNA from 1 species